AUGGCACCUAGAGACGGAGGUACUGCGUGAGGCUGGUUUCACAGAGCAGCGAAGACUUUCCUCUCUUGGCAGUGGAAGGAUAACAAGCU